GUAUUCACCUCGGCAGCACGUAAACUAAAACUGGAAAAAUAUAGAGAACAUUAGCAUGGUCUCUGCACAAGGAUGACACACAGAUUUGUGAAGUAUUCUUUUAUUUA
ensembl:snRNA U6 U6 spliceosomal RNA